rnacentral:rRNA from 1 species
CUACGGGCUGCUGCAGUGAGGAAUAUUGCGCAAUGGGCGAAAGCCUGACGCAGCGAUGCCGCGUGAGUGAAGAAACCCUUAGGGGUGUAAAGCUCUUUUUUAUGGGACGAAUGCCCGUUUCGGCGGGAGCGACGGUACCAUGAGAAUAAGCACCGGCUAACUCCGUGCCAGCAGCCGCGGUAAUACGGAGGGUGCAAGCGUUGUCCGGAUUUACUGGGCGUAAAGGGCGUGUAGGCGGGAUGAUCAGUCGGAGGUGAAAUUUGCACAGCUCAACUGGCAAAGUGCCUUCGAUACUGUCAUCCUUGAGUGAAGGAGGGGGUAGUGGAAUUCCCGGUGUAGCGGUGGAAUGCGCAGAUAUCGGGAGGAACACCGGUGGCGAAGGCGGCUACCUGGCCUUACACUGACGCUGAUGCGCGAAAGCGUGGGGAGCAAACAGGAUUAGAUACCCGCGUAGUC